rnacentral:rRNA from 1 species
UACGGAAGGGGCAAGCGUUGUUCGGGAUCAUUGGGCGUAAAGGGCGCGCAGGUGGCUCUGUAUGUCUGCCGUGAAAGCAUACAGCUCAACUGUAUUGUGCCGGUAGAAACUGCAGGACUUGAGGCUGGGAGGGGCUGGUGGAAUUCCCUGUGUAGCGGUGAAAUGCGUAGAGAUGGGGGAGAACACUCGUGGCGAAGGCGGCCAGCUAGACCAGUUCUGACACUGAGGCGCGACAGCGUGGGGAGCAAACAGG